ensembl:lincRNA
UGUUGUCCUAAAAAAUCGGAUUCCCAGAACCACAGCAAAUGAUUUCAGCUUAUUUACUGAGAUCAAAAGUUGGCAAAUAACCAUGAUGUCAGAGGACCAGAGAUUGUUACAUAAUCAUCCUUCAGUAGAGACAAUGAGGUCACAUGUUUAUCCAUCUAAUCACUGAUCAGGGACAUAUUUGAUUGCAGAUAAUGUGCUCUCUGGCCCACAACUUAAUUACUGAGUAUCUGAAUCAACAAAGCUUUCAGAUAUAGGUCUUGCCUAAUGUGCAUCUGUUAGAGAUCAUUGCCUCUGUUUGGCCUGGAAAUGAAAGUUCUGGGGGAUACAACUGGCCAUUGCCAGCGCUGUUUUUGAUGACCUCACAUUGGCAAACAUGCCAAUUCUCAUGGUUUAUUUUCUAGUCAGCAGUAGGCUUUGUUGUUUGUAUCUACGGCCAAAUGGAACCAAUGACUCCAAAGUGGCAGCUAUUGGUGAAGCCUCUGAGAGAAGCACGCUCUCUGAGGAAAUUAACGCUGCUCAACAGAGAAGAAGUGAUUCCCUUCCUGAGCUGAAAUCAAAAGAGAAGGCAGGAAAAACUCUGUAUAUGGAAAAAGCUGAAGAAAAUGAAAGGAACAAAUGUUGAAAUUUAUCUCUCAAGCACUGGAUUUUUUGUUCACUUCUGGAUUUGCUUUGUCUUAGAGAAGCUACUACCUUAAGACUCAAGGAAGGGAGAAAAACACUUUCCCCAGUGCUCGGGGCAUGCACUUUGCUUAUAUGUGGUCUGGUUUGUAACGGCUUCCUCUGUGAGGAGGAUCGGCACAACUGACCUCACAUUUGCAAAUAAUCUUUCUAAAAUAAACAUCAUUUGGUGUUUUAAGCACAUAAAAGAAAUUGUGGGUGAAGACAAUCCACAGAAAUGAAAGAAGGGCAAUGCUGAAAUGGUACAGCUAGGUGACUGUGGGCAAACCUUAGUUCUACGGAUCUCAUUUUUCUCAUCGUAAAAAGGAAGGGUAGCCUCCAAGAUGGCCCCUGGUGAUUCUUGCCUCCUGAUAUUCAUGCAUUUGUGUAGUGCCCUCCCACACUAAAUAUGACUUGUAUAAUAAAUAGUGUACUACAAAACAACACUGUGACUUCCAAGGCUAGACUAUAACAGACUUUGCUUGAUUCCACUGCUUCCUCCUGGGUCACUCACUCUGACGGUUGCCAACUUCCAUACUGUGAAAGUACUCAAGCAGUCCAAUGGACAAGUCCCCAUGGGAAAGCACUGAAGCCUCCUAAUGACAGUCAUCACCAGCGAGCCAUUGGUGUGAGUGAGCCUUCCCAGAAGUGGGCCAUAUGGUCUUAGUCAAAGUUUUAGAUGACUGCUGUCCCAGCUGACAUCAUGACUGCAAUUUCACAGGGACCCUAGAAGAGAACCACCCAGGUAAGCCACUUCUGAAUUCCUGACACACAGGAACUGUGAGAUAAUAUCUGUUGUUCUUUAAAGUUGCCGUGUUUUAGGUAGUUUGUUACGUAGCAAUAGAUAACUAAUUCAGAUGUUUUAGGCCAUAUUUUAUGUCAGUGAGUAGGUGUAAUUGAAAGAAGUCAUGAAAAGUUGGUGUUUCAUUUGAAAGUUCAAAGACUG